AGUGUGGCCUGCUGACAUCUCUUCUUGUUUCCUUAUUUUCACCUUAGAUUCUUCUGGUCAGAGGCAAUGUCCAUUUCCAAGCCAACCUGGGAACUUCCCACAAUGCUAAGCUAACAGGAGCCACUGUCAAGUGCUCUGUGUUCUUACUUUCUAUCUUUGAGAGGGGAGGACACAAAUAGUGUGGGCUCAUGGUUUAGUCAAGUGGCACAUUAAUUUCCUGUUGCUGCUGUAACAAAUUGCCACAAAGUUAGUGACUCAGAACGGCACAAAUCUACAGCCCUGCACUUCCAGAGCUAAAAUGUCUGAUACCAGUUCCACUGAGAUCGUAGCUCAGUGUCCGGGGAGGAUCCGUUUUCAUCUCAAGGCUGGCAACAUUCCCUCAACCCCUCGUUUUCACGCUUAUGUCUCCUCCUACUGUCUCUGCUCCUCCAGUCUCUCUGGGAAGAAACCUUAUGAUUACAUCGAGCUCACCUGCACAUUCCAGGUUGUCUCCACUACGAGACCCACAAUUCAAUCACAUCUGCAGAGGGUGAUUUUCGCCGUGUAAGACAGCGUUCACACCACAGAUAGCAACAGACAGUUCUGGCUUGCCCCAUUAGUGGGUGUUCAAUGUAAGGUUACAUGAAGAAGGGAGAGUAUGAAAUCAAGAAAACCAACAGACAUCUGGAACACAGAGAAAGCCUCCUUCUUUGGAUCCUCUCUGACCUCUCCGAUAACACUGGCUAUGAGGAGGAAGGCCUGUGGCAGCUGAAGACUGGACCUCUCCAGUAGGCCUUCCUUGCUCCAGGCACAAUCACGCCAAACCCCACACGCAAGGUAAAAUAAACUCCAGUGAACUUUUGGUGACCUGAUAGCUAGUCUCACUCAUGGGGGUGGGGGGGGCACCUUGUCAGCCAGUCAGCAAGAACCUAGGGAUCAAAAUAAUAAAAAGGAAUAAAGAUAAAAUUAUGAAGAAGUCAGUGGCUGAUGGGGUUGACUGUGUGUGCUGAUUGGUGCAAAUGCAUCCUCUGCAUAUGUGCCACACCCACCACUUUGUGCUAUAUAACCAGGCUGGUCAGCUCCCUUUUUGUGAGUUAGCCAGGAGACAUUCUCCCUAAUAG